AUAGUUAUGUUCUUGAAACUUAAAAAAUUUGGCGGUAUNUUAGUCUAUUCAGAGGAACCUGUUCUAUAAUCGAUAAUCCACGAUGGACCUCACUUAAUUUUGUUUUUCAGUUUAUAUACCGCCGUUAUUAGAAUAUUUUAUUAGAAUAAAUAAUUUUCAAUAUUUUUGAUAAAAAUUAAUGUCAGGUCAAGGUGUAGCUUAUAUUUAAGUAAUUAAUGGGUUACAAUAAAAUUAUUUAUGUGAAUUUAAUAUUGAAAUAUAUUAAUGAAGAUGGAUUUGAUAGUAAAAUUUUAUAGAUUAAAAAUUUGAUU
rnacentral:rRNA from 1 species